GUAACCUACGGGGCGCAGCAGUAGGGAAUCUUCCACAAUGGACGAAAGUCUGAUGGAGCAACGCCGCGUGAGUGAAGAAGGGCUUCGGCUCGUAAAGCUCUGUUGGUAGUGAAGAAAGAUAGAGGUAGUAACUGGUCUUUAUUUGACGGUAAUUACUUAGAAAGUCACGGCUAACUACGUGCCAGCAGCCGCGGUAAUACGUAGGUGGCAAGCGUUGUCCGGAUUUAUUGGGCGUAAAGCGAGUGCAGGCGGUUUAUUUAGGCUGAU
rnacentral:rRNA from 1 species